rnacentral:RNase_P_RNA from 1 species
UUGGACGAACGGUCGCGGACAACCCAAGGUUGUCUGAGGAAAGUCCGGACUCCAUAGGAUGCAACGACGGGUAACACCCGCCGGUCGUAAGACUAGGGAAAGCGCAACAGAAAGUAAACCGCCUUUUUCGAAGGGUAAGGGUGAAACGGCGAGGUAAGAGCUCACCGCGUUUCAGGUAACUGAAACGGCAUGGCAAGCCCCGUUGGGAGCAAGGAUAAAUAGCGUCGCGUUCUCGUGAACGGAGGGUGAUCCGUCCUUAAGACGCAGGUAAUCCGCUAGAGCGAUUAGGCGACUAAUCGUCGAGAUAAAUGACCGUUGCUCUUCGAUUGAAGAGUACAGAAUCCGGCUUAUAGUCCAAC